GACGAACGCUGGCGGCGUGCCUAAUACAUGCAAGUCGAACGCAGUGGGGACGGGUGAGUAACACGUGGGUAACCUCCCAUCAGAGGGGAUAACACUUGGAAACAGGUGCUAAACCGAUACUGAUGGAUGGACCCGCGGUGCUUUAGCUAGUUGGUGAGGUAACGGCGCACCAAGGCCACGAUGCAGAGCCGACCUGAGAGGGGGAUCGGCCACACUGGGACUGAGACACGGCCCAGACUCCUACGGGAGGCAGCAGUAGGGAAUCUUGCGCAAUGGGCGAAAGUCUGACGCAGCAACGCCGCGUGAAUGAAGAAGGUCUUCGGAUCGUAAAACUCUGUUGUUAGAGAAGCGUUAUCUAACGAGAAAGCAACGGCUAACUACGUGCCAGCAGCCGCGGUAAUUC
rnacentral:rRNA from 1 species